CCUAGGGGUGGCAGCAGUGGGGAAUAUUGGACAAUGGGCGAAAGCCUGAUCCAGCCAUGCCGCGUGUGUGAAGAAGGCCUUCGGGUUGUAAAGCACUUUCAGUGGGGAAGAAAGCCUUGGGGCUAAUACCCUCGAGGAAGGACAUCACCCACAGAAGAAGCACCGGCUAACUCCGUGCCAGCAGCCGCGGUAAUACGGAGGGUGCGAGCGUUAAUCGGAAUUACUGGGCGUAAAGCGCGCGUAGGCGGUCUGAUAAGCCGGUUGUGAAAGCCCCGGGCUCAACCUGGGAACGGCAUCCGGAACUGUCAGGCUAGAGUGCAGGAGAGGAAGGUAGAAUUCCCGGUGUAGCGGUGAAAUGCGUAGAGAUCGGGAGGAAUACCAGUGGCGAAGGCGGCCUUCUGGACUGACACUGACGCUGAGGUGCGAAAGCGUGGGUAGCAAACAGGAUUAGAUACCCUGUAGUC
rnacentral:rRNA from 1 species